UACAGAGGGUGCAAGCGUUGUUCGGAAUUAUUGGGCGUAAAGCGCGUGUAGGCGGCCAUCUAAGUCUGGUGUGAAAUCCCUCGGCUCAACUGAGGAAGUGCAUUGGAUACUGGAUGGCUAGAGGAUGAGAGAGGAGAGUGGAAUUCCCGGUGUAGGGGUGAAAUCCGUAGAUAUCAGGAGGAACACCAGUGGCGAAGGCGGCUUCCUGGACACCAACUGACGCUGAGACGCGAAAGCGUGGGGAGCAAACAGG
rnacentral:rRNA from 1 species